GUGUUCUUAGUUUUGCAACACCUUUAAUAAAAUAUAAAUGAUAGUGAGAAGAUUAGCAUAUGACCCCUGCACAAAAUUGAGAUACAAAUUAAUGAAGCCCUCCAAAUUUUU